AACGAACGCUGGCGGCAGGCUUAACACAUGCAAGUCGAACGCCCCGCAAGGGGAGUGGCAGACGGGUGAGUAACGCGUGGGAAUCUACCCAGUUCUACGGAAUAACCCAGGGAAACUUGGACUAAUACCGUAUACGCCCUACGGGGGAAAGAUUUAUCGGAAUUGGAUGAGCCCGCGUUGGAUUAGCUAGUUGGUGGGGUAAUGGCCUACCAAGGCGACGAUCCAUAGCUGGUCUGAGAGGAUGAUCAGCCACACUGGGACUGAGACACGGCCCAGACUCCUACGGGAGGCAGCAGUGGGGAAUAUUGGACAAUGGGCGCAAGCCUGAUCCAGCCAUGCCGCGUGAGUGAUGAAGGCCUUAGGGUUGUAAAGCUCUUUCAGUGGGGAAGAUAAUGACGGUACCCACAGAAGAAGCCCCGGCUAACUUCGUGCCAGCCGCCGCCGUAA
rnacentral:rRNA from 1 species